rnacentral:rRNA from 1 species
GAGUGAAGAGGGAAGAGCUCAUCAUUGGAAUCUGGCAGCGUUGCGCUGUCCGAGUUGUAGAUGAGAAGAGUAGGACAUCUGGACUGCAUGGUGUCCAAGUACAAUAGGCCGUCAGUGGGACAUCAUAGAGGGUGACAAUCCCGUCCUUGACACCAAUGUACGAGUCCUUUACGAUGCCUAUCUCGGAGAGUCGAGCAGUUUGGGAUUUGCUGCUUAAACACGGGAGGUAGAUUCCUUCCAAAGCUAAAUACAGGCAAGAGACCGAUAGUGAACAAGUACCGCAAGGGAAAGAUGAAAUAGAACUCUGUGAAGGGAGUCAAAAAGACGUGAAAUUGUUGCGAGAGAAGCGAUUCAAGUCAGCGUAGCUGGGCCCAUCAAGCCUCGCGCUUUGGACCAGCUUUGCCAGCGGUCUUGUCCCCAGAGACUUGACUAAGGUGCCCUGCCCGGUCUAACGGACAGACCUCCCCGCUGGGGAGGCCAGUGGCAUGGCUGGUGGAAUGGCUUGCAAUCGACCCGUCUUG